CUUCCUCCUUUAACCUCAGAGAGGAGGCGGGUCUUCCGGGCUUGGAGGCGGGCUUACCACCUCUGAUGUGAGUGACAGGCCCACGGGCCACUCCUUUUCUCCACAGGGCUGCAGCCCAUGGGUAAACCAACCCUGACGUGGCCGAUCUGUUCCCUUGGCAACAGGGCUCUCAAGGGCUUGACCUAGUAACCUUGACCUUUUUCCUUUGUUUCCCUGGCAAUGAAAAUUCCUAGCCAUCAGACCAUUCCUGAGAAUCUUACUAAUCUUCGUAAUAACUGGAUGCAGAGCUAGAAGAAACCUUAGGAAUGCUUUCAACUUUUGCAGAUGAGGAAAGAAGCUCAAGACUUGCCCACAGCCAAAUGAACCUCAUGGGAGAGUCUGGAUUAGUUCAGAGACCUCCCAUUUCAGGCAUACCUUUCCAUUUAA